UACAGAGGCGGCGAGCGUUGUUCGGAUUUACUGGGCGUAAAGGGUGCGUAGGCGGUUCCGUAUGUCGGAUGUGAAAUCUCACGGCUCAACUGUGGAAUGGCAUCCGAAACUGCGGGGCUGGAGUACCGGAGAGGAAGGCGGAAUUCUAGGUGUAGCGGUGAAAUGCGUAGAUAUCUAGAGGUACACCGGUGGCGAAGGCGGCCUUCUGGACGGAUACUGACGCUGAGGCACGAAAGCUGGGGGAGCAAACAGG
rnacentral:rRNA from 1 species